UGUACACGCUGUGACUAGCAUAUCAAUAAGCGGAGGAAAAGAAACUAACAAGGAUUCCCCUAGUAACGGCGAGUGAAGCGGGAAGAGCUCAAAUUUGAAAUCUUAAAGGGUUUCCCUUUACGAAUUGUAGUUUAAAGAAGUGUUUUCUGUUGAGGUUUUGGUAAAAGUUCUUUGGAAUAGGACAUCAUAGAGGGUGAGAAUCCCGUAUUUGACCUUUACUUUCAACUUUGUGAUACACUUUCAAAGAGUCGGAUUGUUUGGGAAUGCAGUCCAAAAUGGGUGGUAAAUUUCAUCUAAAGCUAAAUAUUGGCGAGAGACCGAUAGCGAACAAGUACCGUGAGGGAAAGAUGAAAAGAACUUUGAAAAGAGAGUUAAACAGUACGUGAAAUUGUCAAAAGGGAAGCGUUUGACACCAGUGUUGUUUUUCUGAAAAUCAAUUAAAGAACUGUUUAUGCUAAGUUGUUUAGACUUUAUCAGCUAACUGUUUAGUUUUGAGCUUUUCUUUAAUGCACUUUUCAGUUAACAAGUCAACAUCAAUUUCUUUUGCUGUAAAAAAGCUUGAGGAAGGUGGCUUGAGAUUCGUCUUAAGUGUUUAUAGCCUCUUGCCUAUGCAGUCGGAGAGAUUGAGGUCUGCAGCGUAGAUCCUUCGGGGCUAAAUGCAUUUGUGCUAAGUUAUAGCAUUUUAUAGACAACUUGUUGACUAUGAUUUGUCUUGUAGCUUACUCGCUUAUGUUAUUUUACCUACGCUUAGGAUGUUGAGUCGUAGAGCACGCAG
rnacentral:rRNA from 1 species